rnacentral:rRNA from 1 species
UACGAAGGGGGCUAGCGUUGCUCGGAAUCACUGGGCGUAAGGGGCACGUAGGGGGAUGUUUAGGUCGGGGGGGAAAGCCUGGAGCUCAACUCCAGAACUGCCUUUGAUACUGGGGAUCUCGAGUCCGGAAGAGGUGAGUGGAACUCCGAGUGUAGAGGUGAAAUUCGUAGAUAUUCGGAAGAACACCAGUGGCGAAGGCGGCUCACUGGUCCGGUACUGACGCUGAGGUGCGAAAGCGUGGGGAGCAAACAGG